GUAGAGAUACAUUCAGGCCUUUGCAUCAUUUAAUGGUGUGAAGAGAAAGGAUAUCCAAAGUGAAAGUGGGUAUCAUGACAAUUGUAGAAUAGCAAUAUUUAACAAGUAAUCGAUGAGAAUAUCUGAUCUAUCAACUAGUUGGUAGUAUCGAGGACUACCAAGGUUAUAACGGAUAACGAGGAAUUAGGGUUUGACAUCGGAGAGGGAGCUUUCAAGAUGGCUACCACUUCCAAGGAAGGCAGCAGGCGCGUAAAUUACCCAAUUUCAACAGAUAGAAGAGGUAGUGACGACAAAUAACUCACGACAUGCGUAAGCAUGUCUUGAAGGAAUGAGUAAGAAGCAAAGAGUCUUACGAAAUCAAUUGGAGGGCAAGUCUGGUGCCAGCAGCCGCGGUAAUUCCAGCUCCAAUAGUGAGGGG
rnacentral:rRNA from 1 species